UCAUCGAGCGGUAGAGAAGGAGCUUGCUUCUUCUUGAGAGCGGGGGACGGGUGAGUAAUGCCUAGGAAUCUGCCUGGUAGUGGGGGACACCGUUUCGAAAGGAACGCUAAUACCGCAUACGUCCUACGGGAGAAAGUGGGGGAUCUUCGGACCUCACGCUAUCAGAUGAGCCUAGGUCGCAUUAGCUUGUAGGUGAGGUAAUGGCUCACCUAGGCAUACGAUCCGUAACUGGUCUGAGAGGAUGAUCAGUCACACUGGAACUGAGACACGGUCCAGACUCCUACGGGAGGCAGCAGUGGGGAAUAUUGGACAAUGGGCGAAAGCCUGAUCCAGCCAUGCCGCGUGUGUGAAGAAGGUCUUCGGAUUGUAAAGCACUUUAAGUUGGGAGGAAGGGUUGUAGCUUAAUACGCUGCAACUUUGACGUUACCAACAGAAUAAGCACCGGCUAACUCUGUGCCAGCAGCCGCGGUAAUACAGAGGGUGCAAGCGUUAAUCGGAAUUACUGGGCGUAAAGCGCGCGUAGGCGGCUUGAUAAGAUGGGUGUGAAAUCCCCGGGCUUAACCUGGGAACUGCAUCCAUAACUGUCUGGCUAGAGUGCAGUAGAGGGUGGUGGAAUUUCCUGUGUAGCGGUGAAAUGCGUAGAUAUAGGAAGGAACACCAGUGGCGAAGGCGUCCACCUGGACUGUCACUUACCCUGAG
rnacentral:rRNA from 1 species